ensembl:lncRNA
CAGACUCACUCUGACCUCCCCUGGGUGCUCCCUGGACAGCGUCCCCUGGGAGGCCGGAGAAGCGGGAGGUCCGUCUGUGGGCGGGGACUUGGAGGGGACCUCCGGGGACUGGCCCUCAGGUCCGGGCAGGGCCUGGGCACCUGGAGGACGGGACCCAGAGCGGGGCAGAGCUCCUGCCUGAGCCCAGGCUGCUGAACACCCCCUCAACCGGGAUUCCCUGGGCCAGGCACACGACUGUGCCGAUGGGGCGAGGCCUGUCUCCCGUGGGGCGAACUGCUGCCCACCAGCUCUGGUGCCCACCCUCCAGGCCUCCUGCACUUGCUCUCCGCUCUCUGCUGUGGGGUCCUCGCCCUUCCCCAGCCUCCUUGCUUUAACGACGUGGACCUGCCCAGUGACCCCCACUCUGGGACAGUGGGCUCGGGCCCCAGGGGAACUGGAGGAUGAACAGGCCGGCCCGGGCCGGGCGAGCUGCUGAGCUGCAUCCUGCGACUCCAGGCUGGCGUCUCACCGGGAUGCUGUGAGGACCGUGGCCGGUGUUGCUGGCUGAGCUCUGGCUGGAUGCAGGCGGUGGCAGCUGGUCUCAAUCUCCCGGCCUCUCAGAUGGAUGCCUGCGAUGCCCCUGGCCAGGCAGGGGUGUGAAGCGGCUCUGAGCCAGUCUGCCCUGUUCCCAUGCAGGUGUCCAGAGCCCCUUCGAGGGGCCCUUGCGAACCCCAGAGAGGCUUCCUCUGUGGGCAGGGACACCCAGGAAGCCGGCUGCAGGCGGAGGAGACACCAGGGGGGCCUGGCUGGGGCCGGUCCGCUCCUAGGCCCAGUCUCAGAGGCGGACAGACCUGGCCUGGUCCCGCCCGUCACCCGUGGACGGUGCGGUCCUCUCAGGGCCCGGCCCCUCAUCUUGGGAACAAGGGUCACCGAGCCGCCCCUUGUCCCGCUGGCGCGAGGCUGACAAGGCUUGGAAAGGGCCUGCCGCAUGGGGGGCACCGGGCAGAGGCUCUGCAGCGUCAGCGGGCCUCCACCCAGGGCUCUCUGGGUGGGAAUGGCAAGAGCCCAGGCCCCAGGACAAGGCAGGGCUGACGCCAUCUAUUUAUUUAAGAGCGCUCUGCAGCCUCGGCUGGGGCCAAGCACUGUUCCGAUGGCUUUACACCACUUCAGUUCUCUCUGCAUCUGCAGGAGCCUUCGAAUGUCUGAAAAUGAUGUAUUUUGCCUUCGUCUUAAAAAGCUGCUCCUCUAACUACUGGAUCCUAGAUUGACAGCUUUCUGUCAACACUCUGAGGAUACCGUUUCAUGGUUUUUGUGUCUGCAUGGUCCCCAGUGAGAAAUGUCAUCUUGUUUUUCUUCUUCUGAUUAUAACAUUUCUUUUUUUCUCUAGCAGUUUUUUGAGAACUUUCUCUUCAGCACUGGCUUUGAAUUACGAUAUACGCCUGGAUCUCAUUUUCUUGUGCUUGGAGUUCACUUGGCUUUUGGGAUCUGUGGGUUUAUAGUUUUCAUCCAGUGUGGGAAGUUUUGGGCCAUUAUUUCUUCAAACACUUUUUCUGUCUCUCUCAUCACCUCUCCUUCGGAGACUCCAAC